UCAGUGCGAGAGAGCUGCAGCUGGACGCAAAGCCCGCCUCCCUUGCAGCUAAGCUUGCUGCAGCCCGGACAGAGUUCCAGAAUUGACACGUGUCAACCUUGGGCCUGAAUGGGUCUUAAUAGCCUGGGUUUGGGGGUUCUCUGCCCUUACCUGGGAGCUGGGUACCUAUGACCUAGUGCUGGCCGAAGCUAAAGGAAGGUGGGGGAAAAAAUGAAAUGGAACCUGGAUCCCCAAUGACCACCUGGGUCAGAGCCUGGGUCCCCAGCUGACUGCCUGGGUCUCCGAGUGACCACCUGCUUUGGGGCCAGGAUCGCCAAGUGACUUCCUGAGUCAAAGCCAAAGAAAUAAACGUUUAUAUUUUUGUA